AAAAAAAAAAACACGGAUACCACCACAUUAGGGUUUCAGGUCUCUCAUUUCUUAUCCGCCUCCAUCUACUGUCUCCUUCUCUAGCGAUUCAAGAACUGCGCGAUUCCUCUUUAUAUCUAGAUCUGUGUUUGUUUCUUCUUUAGAUCUAUGAUUCCUCUUCAGAUCUGCGCAAUUAGCCAGCUUCACACCCACCUUGUAGCCAUGAUUUCUGGUAGAUCUGAGCCACAUCAUUUUGCUGUACUUUUCAAGUCUUCCUCUUUCCUGAAGCCAUCUUCAUCACUAUGGAUGAUGAAAUAUCUCCAUUUGUAACAUUGGCUGAGUACACAACUUUAGAUCUUCAUCACUGUCGACGAUGAAAUGUCUCCGGAACUGCUAAUCAUAUUUACGUUUUGGUAUUUGUUUUACUUGAAGGUUUUGAUGUAAAAGAAGAAAAGGUUUUGACAUAAAAUAAGAAAAGAUGUGGGGGAUUUUAAGGCAAAAAGCCGGAGGAGUUACCGGAUUAUCCUCUCAGGGUUUGGGGAAUCAGAUGUUGAGGUUAAGGCAUGUAGCUUCAGCUAUGAGAAGUUUUGCCGUACUUUUCGAGUCUUGGCUUUCCUGAAGCCAUCUUAAUCACUGUCGACGAUGAAAUAUCUCCGAGGAUUUUGUACAGGCUAUUACUCUUCCUCUUGCAAUCGAGACUUCUUGUGAAGGUCUAGAAUGGGCUAGCUUUGGUGAGUGUGGCAGGUAUCACCUAUAAGGAAUGGGCACCUGGAGCUGAUAUCCUUUUUAUUAAAAAAAUUAUAGUCUGCUUCGCUUUUUGAAGAUUUCAAUAGUUGGAAUCCAAAUGCUGAUGUUAUGACCAAGAGUGAAAAAUGGAUCCUAUCGCAUUGACAUAUGGCUACUGUAUUGGGCCGCCAGUUUAAGCUUCGUAGAAGGCCCAGGUCAGUUGGGGUUAUGCUUGUUUGUGGUCUACAGGUGGCAGUUGGCCUAGCAAUGGCUGAAACUAAGGUUCAAGGCCCAGCGUUGGUUUAAUUUGCAGAUUAAAGAUAGCCAGGUACUCUCCCAUGGGACGAUCAUUCUAUUCUCCUGAUCUGGGUUGUAGACAGCCACUCGGUGAGGGGUUGGACGAUCAUUCUAUUCUUCUAUGCACGCGUCCAUAUCCACCUCUGAGAUCUUAAACCAAUCUUACCUUAACAUCAUAUGUUUGAGCAUAUUGACCAAAAAUCAGAUUUACAUGUCAAGUUCCCUUCGCUUUCCAACAAUUGCUACCGAACUCAGUUGGAGGUAUAUCACAUCUUUCUCGGAUUCAUGUAAACGAACCAUAUAUGACUACAGGACGGGUUGGUAAUAGGUCAAAGUGGUUUCAGGAUAAACCAAAUGGAUUCAUGUGAUCACCACAUUCUUGUUUUUACAUGGAGGCAGACGAAGCCAAUGAUGAUAUGUCCUCAGCAAAAGACGGUGAAACAAUAAACAAGGCUGAGUGAGUAAUCAAGGGUUCACUGGAAUGACGAAGAACAAAGUUGAUAUGUUCCCCUAUCGCUUAUUAAUUUUGUUUCUCUUCUCAUUACAGAUUCAUCUUCAAUACCAAUACAUGUGGCUUCACCUAUAUUAAAGAUUUCAUAUUAUAAAAGUUGUACUUGCAUGAAUCCUAAAUGAAUUUAGCAUUGUUUAUUCACUUGCAUAUAUGUGAAUUUAGGCUUUGUUA